AGGCGAUCUACAGUUUCCAAAUCCUUCAAAAAAGUAAUGAUGAAUUUUGAAGUAUAAAUUCCAGAGGAAGUUGUUGUCUAGUCCUUUAACAAAGAUGAUAUUCAGUUGUCUGCCUGCAGACACCCAAGCAUGGCAUUACUGGUGAAAAGGUUUAGGACUCAUGAAGAACAAUCUCUACAGAUUAUGUGCUGUAGAGGCAGCUAUUAUAUUCAGUAAUAAUGAUCUUAAUGUUUGAUUAAGAUAUAGAAGUAUUUAUUGUAAUUUGCUGAUUGAAACUUACGUAAGACAGCUUAAGUCAUGUUUUUAAUAAAAAAAAAUUUGCAGUGA